UGUUGCCUCGGCGGGGUCACGCCCCGGGUGCGUCGCAGCCCCGGAACCAGGCGCCCGCCGGAGGAACCAACCAAACUCUUUCUGUAGUCCCCUCGCGGACGUAUUUCUUACAGCUCUGAGCAAAAAUUCAAAAUGAAUCAAAACUUUCAACAACGGAUCUCUUGGUUCUGGCAUCGAUGAAGAACGCAGCGAAAUGCGAUAAGUAAUGUGAAUUGCAGAAUUCAGUGAAUCAUCGAAUCUUUGAACGCACAUUGCGCCCGCCAGUAUUCUGGCGGGCAUGCCUGUCCGAGCGUCAUUUCAACCCUCGAACCCCUCCGGGGGAUCGGCGUUGGGGAUCGGGACCCCUCACACGGGUGCCGGCCCCGAAAUACAGUGGCGGUCUCGCCGCAGCCUCUCCUGCGCAGUAGUUUGCACAACUCGCACCGGGAGCGCGGCGCGUCCACGUCCGUAAAACACCCAACUUUCUGAAAUGUUGACCUCGGAUCAGGUAGGAAUACCCGCUGAACUUAAGCAUAUCAAUAAGCCGGAGGAA
rnacentral:rRNA from 1 species